rnacentral:lncRNA from 1 species
GACAGGAGAGGAGAGGAGAGCUGUCUAGUAAGGACAGGAGAGGAGAGGAGAGGAGAGGAGAGCUGUCUAGUAAGGACAGGAGAGGAGAGGAGGGCUGUCUAGUAAGGACAGGAGAGGAGAGGAGGGCUGUCUAGUAAGGACAGGACAGGAGAGGAGGGCUGUCUAGUAAGGACAGGAGAGGAGAGGAGGGCUGUCUAGUAAGGACAGGAGAGGAGAGGAGGGCUGUCUAGUAAGGACAGGAGAGGAGAGGAGGGCUGUCUAGUAAGGACAGGAGAGGAGAGGAGAGGAGAGCUGUCUAGUAAGGACAGGAGAGGAGGGGAGGGCUGUCUAGUAAGGACAGGACAGGAGAGGAGGGGUGUCUAGUAAGGACAGGAGAGGAGAGGAGGGGUGUCUAGUAAGGACAGGACAGGAGAGGAGGGGUGUCUAGUAAGGACAGGAGAGGAGAGGAGGGCUGUCUAGUAAGGACAGGAGAGGAGAGGAGAGCUGUCUAGUAAGGACAGGAGAGGAGAGGAGGGCUGUCUAGUAAGGACAGGACAGGAGAGGAGGGCUGUCUAGUAAGGAGAGGAGAGGAGAGGAGGGCUGUCUAGUAAGGAGAGGAGAGGAGAGGAGGGCUGUCUAGUAAGGACAGGAGAGGAGAGGAGGGCUGUCUAGUAAGGACAGGACAGGAGAGGAGAGGAGGGCUGUCUAGUAAGGACAGGAGAGGACAGGAGGGCUGUCUAGUAAGGACAGGAGAGGAGAGGAGGGCUGUCUAGUAAGGACAGGACAGGAGAGGAGGGGUGUCUAGUAAGGACAGGACAG